rnacentral:rRNA from 1 species
GACGAACGCUGGCGGCGUGCUUAACACAUGCAAGUCGAACGGAAAGGCCCUGCUUUUGUGGGGUGCUCGAGUGGCGAACGGGUGAGUAACACGUGAGUAACCUGCCCUUGACUUUGGGAUAACUUCAGGAAACUGGGGCUAAUACCGGAUAGGAGCUCCUGCUGCAUGGUGGGGGUUGGAAAGUUUCGGCGGUUGGGGAUGGACUCGCGGCUUAUCAGCUUGUUGGUGGGGUAGUGGCUUACCAAGGCUUUGACGGGUAGCCGGCCUGAGAGGGUGACCGGCCACAUUGGGAAUGAGAUACGGCCCAAACUCCUAAGGGGGGCAGGAGUGGGGAAUAUUGCACAAUGGGCGGAAGCCUGAUGCAGCAACGCCGCGUGCGGGAUGACGGCCUUCGGGUUGUAAACCGCUUUCGCCUGUGACGAAGCGUGAGUGACGGUAAUGGGUAAAGAAGCACCGGCUAACUACGUG